UUAAAAAGUUUCCAUCUUAAUGGCCUCUGAAGCUACCCUUUCUUACAAUAUUGCUAUCAAGAAAGCAUCUGACAUGGUAAAAAAUCUUGCAGACCUGGAAGAGCCAUGUUGCCAGUUGGUGAGACUCCACCAGCAGCUUACCCAUCCAACAGGCGAGACUGUGGACUGUAACUGUUGAGUGCCUGUUAGCGCUUGCUUCCUGCAGCCGAAAGAGCAAUGGGUCUUCGAAAGAGCACUGAAGAGCUUGCUUGUUUCCUUUUGAAAACAGACUGUGCAAUAGGAAGCACAGAAGCAGAAUGAGGUCAUGUUUCCUGCUAAGUCUAGCUUCGCAUCACAAGCAUUCUUUCUGAAGAGUCCGUUGCAGAUUAGAGAUUAGCCCACUGGAGAAUUCAGAUGUUAAGGUAUCUUCAGCUAUGAAUAGAAGGGUCUUGCUUGUUGCAUUGUUCUUGGCAAAGAACAAAUUUCAGAAACAGUGGGAGGUGGUAGAUGAGCAGUUCACUAGGUCCAAGAGAAAGGUCUGGUUUGGAUGAGUUACUAUCAAAACAGGUAUCAGUGAGAGUGGUGUGAGGGGAGAGAUAAUCUGAGAAAUAAAGUGAUAUUAUACAUGC